CUUCCUGCUUUCAUAUGCUAUGUGCACUGCUUUUCCGUCUUAGCCUUUAUUCUUCUCAUUUCCUCCUCUCUAAAUCUCCUAGCAGGCGCCUAUUCUCCUCCUUGGCUACUACUAUGGCCGUCUCUCACCCCAAAGACGAAGCCUAUCUCAAAGCAGUGAUCGAAAAACGCAUCAAGUUCUUCGAAUCCAUUAAGUCACAGCAGCUUACCCACCUUCAAUCCCUCGAGCACGGCCUCAUCAAGAUUACUUUGGCAGACGGGAAAGUAAAGGAAGGCAAGAGAUGGUUAUCGUCUCCGAUGGAUAUUGCCAGAGAGAUUUCUAAGAGUUUGGCGGCCAAUGCCUUGAUUGCUCAAGUUGAUGGGACUCUUUGGGACAUGAACAGGCCGUUAGAGAGCGAUUGUGAGCUCAAGAUUUUUACAUUUGACAGUGAUGAAGGGCGCGAUACCUUUUGGCAUUCAAGCGCUCACAUUCUUGGCCAGUCACUGGAGAUGGAGUAUGGUUGCAAGCUUUGUAUUGGACCCUGUACAACAAGAGGGGAGGGAUUCUAUUAUGAUGCAUUCUAUGGUGAAUUGGGCUUGAACGAUGAUCAUUUUAAGCAAAUUGAAACUGGGGCACUGAAAGCUGUUGCGGAAAAGCAACCUUUUGAGCGCAUUGAAUUAUCAAGGGAACAAGCACUUGAGAUGUUUUCAGAAAAUAAUUUCAAGGUUGAAAUCAUCAAUGAUCUUCCUGCAGACAAGACUAUAACUGUAUACAGGUGUGGCCCAUUGGUAGAUUUAUGUCGAGGACCCCAUAUACCUAAUACAUCCUUCGUGAAAGCAUUCGCAUGUUUGAAGGCUUCAUCAGCCUAUUGGAGGGGUAACAAAGAUCGUGAAAGUUUACAAAGAGUUUAUGGGAUAUCCUAUCCUGAUCAAAAACGAUUGAAGGAGUACAUUCAACAGUUGGAAGAAGCAAAGAAGUAUGACCACAGACUGUUGGGAACAAAACAGGAGCUUUUCUUUUGUCAUCCACUGAGUCCGGGAAGUUGGUUUUUCCUUCCACAUGGAACUCGAAUUUACAAUAAAUUAAUGGAAUUUAUACGUGCUCAAUAUAGAGACAGAGGAUAUGAAGAGGUUAAAUCUCCAAAUAUCUAUAACAUGAAACUUUGGGAGACAUCUGGCCAUGCUGCAAAUUAUAAGGAGAAUAUGUUUUUGCUCGAGAUUGAAAAGCAAGAGUUUGGCCUGAAACCAAUGAAUUGCCCUGGGCAUUGUUUGAUAUUUCAACACAGAGUCCGUU
rnacentral:misc_RNA from 1 species